rnacentral:rRNA from 1 species
UACAUGGGGUGCAAACGUUGCUCGGAAUUACUGGGCGUAAAGCGCACGCAGGCGGUCUGUUAAGUCAGAUGUGAAAUCCCCGGGCUUAACCUGGGAACUGCAUUUGAAACUGGCAGGCUUGAGUCUCGUAGAGGGGGGUAGAAUUCCAGGUGUAGCGGUGAAAUGCGUAGAGAUCUGGAGGAAUACCGGUGGCGAAGGCGGCCCCCUGGACGAAGACUGACGCUCAGGUGCGAAAGCGUGGGGAGCAAACAGG